GGGGGAGUAUGGUCGCAAGGCUGAAACUUAAAGGAAUUGACGGAAGGGCACCACCAGGAGUGGAGCCUGCGGCUUAAUUUGACUCAACACGGGGAAACUCACCAGGUCCAGACACAAUAAGGAUUGACAGAUUGAGAGCUCUUUCUUGAUUUUGUGGGUGGUGGUGCAUGGCCGUUCUUAGUUGGUGGAGUGAUUUGUCUGCUUAAUUGCGAUAACGAACGAGACCUUAACCUACUAAAUAGUGGUGCUAGCAUUUGCUGGUUAUCCACUUCUUAGAGGGACUAUCGGUUUCAAGCCGAUGGAAGUUUGAGGCAAUAACAGGUCUGUGAUGCCCUUAGACGUUCUGGGCCGCACGCGCGCUACACUGACGGAGCCAGCGAGUCUAACCUUGGCCGAGAGGUCUUGGUAAUCUUGUGAAACUCCGUCGUGCUGGGGAUAGAGCAUUGUAAUUAUUGCUCUUCAACGAGGAAUUCCUAGUAAGCGCAAGUCAUCAGCUUGCGUUGAUUACGUCCCUGCCCUUUGUACACACCGCCCGUCGCUAGUACCGAUUGAAUGGCUUAGUGAGGCCUCAGGAUCUGCUUAGAGAAGGGGGCAACUCCAUCUCAGAGCGGAGAAUUUGGACAAACUUGGUCAUUUAGAGGAACUAAAAGUCGUAACAAGGUUUCCGUAGGUGAACCUGCGGAAG
rnacentral:rRNA from 1 species